rnacentral:rRNA from 1 species
GAUGAACGCUAGCGGCAGGCUUAACACAUGCAAGUCGAGGGGUAGAAGGAGCUUGCUCCUUUGAGACCGGCGCACGGGUGCGUAACGCGUAUGCAAUCUACCUUUUGCAGAGGAUAGCCCAGAGAAAUUUGGAUUAAUACCUCAUAGUAUGUGAGGAUGGCAUCAUUUUCACAUUAAAGUCACAACGGCAAAAGAUGAGCAUGCGUCCCAUUAGCUAGUUGGUAAGGUAAACGGCUUACCAAGGCUACGAUGGGUAGGGUCCUGAGAGGGAGAUCCCCCACACUGGUACUGAGACACGGACCAGACUCCUACGGGAGGCAGCAGUGAGGAAUAUUGGACAAUGGCGCAAGCCUGUAUCCAGCCAUGCCGCGUGCAGGAUGACGGUCCUAUGGAUUGUAAACUUGCUUUUGUACAGGAAGGAAAC